UUAAAAAUGGCGGGGUGGCAGCAGUAUUGAGUAUGUCAAUUUCUUUUGCUAAUAGUUCAAUACCGCCGGAAAUCA
rnacentral:tRNA from 1 species